rnacentral:rRNA from 1 species
AACGAGCGCUGGCGGCAGGCUUAACACAUGCAAGUCGAGCGCGUAGCAAUACGAGCGGCAGACGGGUGAGUAACGCGUGGGAAUCUACCUAUCCCUACGGAACAACUCCGGGAAACUGGAGCUAAUACCGUAUACGCCCUUCGGGGGAAAGAUUUAUCGGGGAUGGAUGAGCCCGCGUUGGAUUAGCUAGUUGGUGGGGUAAUGGCCUACCAAGGCGACGAUCCAUAGCUGGUCUGAGAGGAUGAUCAGCCACACUGGGACUGAGACACGGCCCAGACUCCUACGGGAGGCAGCAGUGGGGAAUAUUGGACAAUGGGCGCAAGCCUGAUCCAGCCAUGCCGCGUGAGUGAUGAAGGCCCUAGGGUUGUAAAGCUCUUUCACCGGUGAAGAUAAUGACGGUAACCGGAGAAGAAGCCCCGGCUAACUUCGUGCCAGCCGCCGCCGUAAAAC